GCUAAACGCGAAGAACCUUACCAAGGCUUGACAUACACCGGAAAGCUGCAGAGAUGUAGCCCCCGCAAGGUCGGUGUACAGGUGGUGCAUGGUUGUCGUCAGCUCGUGUCGUGAGAUGUUGGGUUAAGUCCCGCAACGAGCGCAACCCCUGUCCUAUGUUGCCAGCGCGUUAUGGCGGGGACUCAUAGGAGACUGCCGGGGUCAACUCGGAGGAAGGUGGGGAUGACGUCAAAUCAUCAUGCCCCUUAUGUCUUGGGCUUCACGCAUGCUACAAUGGCCGGUACAAAGGGCUGCGAUACCGCAAGGUGGAGCGAAUCCCAAAAAGCCGGUCUCAGUUCGGAUUGGGGUCUGCAACUCGACCCCAUGAAGUCGGAGUCGCUAGUAAUCGCAGAUCAGCAACGCUGCGGUGAAUACGUUCCCGGGUCUUGUACACACCG
rnacentral:rRNA from 1 species